AUGUGUGAGCCAGCAGAGAGCGCGCGGGGCCUGGAGCUCUCAUCUGUGCCACCAGAAGCAGGGGACGGUGAAACGUCAUCCACAAUCACCAGAGAGACCGCUCCAUCCCAGGCAUCCUACACCAGCCCAGAAAUGCCACCGGUAAGCGUAACAGCAGACGUCAGAAGAUAUGUCAUCCAUAUGGGUUAUCCAGAGAAAGUGCCGGAAGGAAGCCAGCCACCGCACACGAGUCAGAGCAGAGGGCACCCCGCUGACAUCAAGACACUCCAGGAGAAACAGCGCACGGCCCAGGAGAGAAAGAGCAGGAAGCUUGGACCCAGGCUCCAAUCCCGGCCGCCAGUUACCAGACAGAUGGCCACGUGGCGUCUGCUUGCCUCGCUCUCCGCAUCUGUGGCUGGGGUGAUGGUUGUGCCUGCCUGGCGGGGCUGCUGUGAGUGAAGGGGACGUUAUGGAUCUGGCGGGAAACACGUAAACUAUGAGCUCAGCCCACGGGAACGUGGUUUCCUGGCUGCCCCCACAACAGCUGUUCCCCAUCAGCACCGGCUCCGUCUCCCUAGCAGGAAGCUGGGUGGCCGCAGCAGGUCAGGUGUGGACACCCCUCACAACCUCCCAUCUGCGUGGACAUCACUGGACAGGGUGGUAAGGGGGAGACCAGCAGUGAGGAGAGGGUGGGGUACAGCCCCCCCACACCUCUGGCCCCUCUGGUGCCUGCCUUUCCUGUGACCAUGUGGAGGAAAUCAGCUCCUGGAGAGGGGGGCCAAGGCUGCGGGGUCCUCAGUGCCACCAACCAGGCAUGAGCCCGACCACUGGCUGAGCCCCACGUGGUGCCUUUGCCCUGGACCUGUGCCUCCCAUGCCCUCCUGGCUCUGCUGCAGCAGACCCGUAUGCUGAGGCCUUCUGGAUGGUUCCAGCCCCUCCCAUGUGGGCUGUUCACACCAUACCUGGUCUGGGCUGAGGCUUCCUGCCCCUUCCCCCUCCCACCCUGACCAGGUUGGCCUGGGGGGCCUUCGGUGCAGACUGCCCAUGCGGCCCUCCCCGGCCACCCACAGCCAGAGGGGCCCAGAUUCCCUGCAGGCCAAAUACAGAUGCCCCAUCCCCCACAGCUUCUUUCCCCAUGGGAUGUGGUCCGUGACAAAGCCGGGGUAGACUCGCCUCUUGCCAUGCUGGGGCCCUGUGCCCACCCUGCCCGCUCUGAGUGUCCCUGCUGUGAGUUCCCAGCCCACCGGCUUCAGGCACUGCCAAGCCCAGAGCUCGCCUCUCUGAAGAGGGUGUGGGUUUCUCCAGGCUGGGCCUGUGGCCAGCAACGCAGACAGGUGUUCGUGACCAGGGCAUCUGUGCUUUCAGGAAGAGACCCCAAACCACGCAGGGAGGGAGGAGGCCCUGAGAGAGAAGGCACCAGCACACGCACGUGACCACACAGAAGACUGCCUUCACCCUGUCCACGUCCCAGCAGCACCCGCCGCACGGGGGACCCUGUGCAGCUUCUGGUUUUCCGGUGCUGCCUUCUCGAGGCAUGGCCUCCGAAGCGGCUCCCCCGAUUCCUGAAAAACAGCCUCACUGAGAUGUAGUUCACAUGCACACAAGCCACCCUUAAGAGUGCACCAUACAGUGGUUCUUCAUAUAUUCCAGAAGCUGUGGGACCGUCCCACUAAUCUCAUUCCGGGACACGCUCAUCACCCGCAGAAGACGUCCUGUGCCUGUGAGCAGCAGCCCCCUGCCGUGGUUGGAGUGCGGCCACAGCAGAAACCAGGCAGCCGCUUAUCAGCAGAGACUUCCUGCCUCUCGGUCCGGAGGCCAAGGUGCCGGCAGGGCCACGUCGGCCCCUCGUAUGCUGCCUGCUCACACGGCUGGAGGGUGGGCCUGCCCCACGAGCCCUUUUCAAAGUGGCUUUAGUCAUGAGGGCUCUGCCUCGUGAGUGGAUCAGAUACCCCCCAUCAGGCCCCACCUCCCGGCCCGGCUGCAGGGGGUCUAAGUUUCGGCGUGAGCUGCCGAGGAUGCAGCAUUCCACGCGUGGCACUGCACGCCUGCCCAGAUCUCACCCUUCUCGCAAAAUCCUACGAGUCAGCGUUCUCUAGAGGGACAGGACGAAUAGGAUAGACGCAUCUGUGAAGGGGGUUUCUGAGGAGAACUGACUCACACGAUCACAAGGUGAGGUCCCAGGAUACGCCGUCUACGAGCUGAGGCGCCAGGAAGCCGCCCGAGACCCAAAACGUCAACAGCAGGGACGCCGACAGCGCAGCUGUGUCUGUGGCCGAAGCUGACAAACCACCGGUGUGAGUCCAAGAGCCCCACAGCUGAGGAACUUGGAGUCCGAGGUCGGAGAGCAGGAAGCAUCCCGCACGGGAGAAAGACAGAGGCUGGGAGACUCAGCCAGUCCGGUCCUUCCACGUUCCUCUGCCUGCUCUACCCUGGCCGCGCUGGCAGCUGAUGAGACGGUGCCCACCCAGAUGGAGGGUGGGUCUGCCUCUCCCAGUCCACUGACUGAGAUGGCACUCUCCUGUGGCAGCGCCCUCACAGACACACCCAGGAUCAGUGCUUUGCACCCUUCACUCCAGUCAAGGUGACACUCAGUGUUAAACAUCAAAAAACACAUUCAUUCCAUCCCAACUGCCCCAGAGUCUUAACUCAUCCAAGCACCAGCUCACAGCUCUGAAGCUCCGAGCCUCAUCUGCUUCAGAGGGGGCGAGCCUCCAGGCACAAGCCGUUGGAAGGCAGGCUCCCCUGCAGCUGUGAGCCCCUGAAAUCAAGCAGGUUAUGUGCUUCCCAAAUGCAGUGGGGCAGGUUCACGACAAAUAUUUCUAUUCCAAAAGGGAGAAAUAGGCAAGAAAAGAGAAGAGCAAGCCCGGGUAAGUCCAAACGUGGCAGGGCAGGCAGAGUGACACUCAGGCUUGGGGAUGAUCUUGGAAUCCGUGCCCACCUUGCAGCCACGAGGGGCAGGGCUGGGCCCCCAUGGCUUCUCUGGGCUCAGCCCGUGCAGCACUCGUGGGUCAGACUCUCCUGCCUGCAGCUCUCCCGGGCUGCGGUUGCUCGUUGGUGGCCUGAAGUCCUGGGGCCUUGGAGGCAGCCCCUGCCUCGGCUCCACUGGGCAUUGCCCGGGUGGGGACUCCAAGGCAGCUCCGCCCCCACGAUGAGUCUCUGCCUGGGCCCCAAGGUGGUCAGUAACACACUUUGAAAUCUGGGUGGAGGCCACCGUGGCCUGCAGGGUCAGUGCCGUGUGGAUGCCGCCAAGGCCCACCACAUUCGCCCUCAGGAGCAAUGGGUGGGGCUGCACCCACGCCUGCCUGACCACGGCCGGGGCGGCCAAGGAGGGCUGGGCCAGGAUUUGGGGAGCGCUUUGGUCCCAGCGGUGCCUCAGGGGCCCACCCUACAAUGCUGCUGCCCUCAGGGCCCUCAUAAAAGGGUUGGAAGGAACUAGCUGGGCUGCUUUCCCUCCAGGUUCUGCAUGUGAGGCUGGAUCACCCUCGGAGCUGCCCUCGGCAGACCCCGGCCUGCCCGCGCCUGGGUCUCGGACUUCCCAGCUUGAGAACUGCAGGACAUACAUUUCUGUUGCUUAUAAAUCACCCAGGCUGAGGCGUCUGGUUAUAGCAGCAGGGAUGGACUAAGACGCCUCCCGUUUUCUCCCAGCUGUACCCUCUCCCCCAGCCCCCGGCAGCCGGGAGCCUACACAGUGUCGCCAUGCACCUGCCCAUUCCAGACAUUUGACAUAAGUGGUCUCGUGAUCUGUGGCAGUCCGCGUCUGACCUCUUCCACUUAGCAAAUGUUUUCGGGGUUCAUCUGCUUUGGAGCGGGGGCCAGAGCUACAG
rnacentral:lncRNA from 1 species